GCUUGCCCUGAUACCUAGACACUGUCAUUUUUGCCCGCGCAAAUGUUUUCACACCUUUUGCAUUUUUUCCUAUUUUUCUUUCCCUAGCUUGCCCAGAAAAUAGAUUAGGGUUUUCACUACCAAUUGCAGCCGAGGGGUAACCAAUGGAUGUGUGCCAAAUUCCUCAGCUUCUAAACGACACGCUCAGUUCUGAUGUCAAUGUCGUCCAUACGGCCACAGAAGCUCUAAAUCGCCUCUCUCUCCUCCCUCACUUUCCCUUCUCCCUCCUCUCCGUUGCCGCUGGAGGUGAAAAUCAAGGUCAAAGAGUUGCUGCCGCUACAUACCUUAAGAACUUCACCAGGCAAAAUAUCAAGGGAAAUGGUCCAAAGUCAAAAGUGAGCAAGGAGCUUAAGGAUCAUCUUAUGCGAAUUUUGCUUCAAGUGGAACCUGCGGUUGUAAAAGUCUUAAUUGAAGUGUUUCGGAUCAUUGUUGUUGCUGAGUUUGUUGAGCAGAAUUGUUGGCCUGAACUUGUACCUGAACUACGGUCUGCUAUUUGGAACAGCAAUCUUAUCAACAAUGGUACAAGUUGUGAAUGGAAUACCAUUAAUGCCCUUACAGUUCUCCAGGCACUUAUCAGACCUUUCCAGUACUUUCUAAACCCUAAAGUAGCUAAGGAGCCAGUGCCACCACAGCUAGAGCUAAUUGCAAAAGAAAUUCUUGUAUCCUUGUUAGCUGUAUUCCAUCACCUCCUGGAGAAGGCUUUAUCUACCCAUGGUGGGACAGAGUUGGAAGCAGAGAAGAUCCUUCUUAUUGUAUGCAAAUGCAUAUAUUUCACUGUGAGGUCACACAUGCCAUCUGCAUUAGCUCCUUCUCUGCCUUCGCUUUGCCAGAAUUUGACUAGCCUUCUUGAUUCCUUGAGCUUUGAUCAUGAUGUUACUUCAGAAGACGGGCAAUUGCUGAGACUGAAGGCUGGAAAGAGGAUUUUGCUCAUAUUUUGUGCUCUGGUUACCCGACACCGGAAGUAUUCUGACAAGUUAAUGCCAGAUAUAUUAAACUGUGCCCUGAAAAUAGUUAGAUACACCAAAAAUAUCAGUAAGCUAGAUUUCCUGUCAGAGAGAAUCAUUUCAUUAGCUUUUGAUUUAAUUUCUCACAUUCUGGAGACAGGCCCGGGAUGGAGAUUGGUUUCACCCCAUUUUUCAUUUUUGUUGGAUUCUGCAAUCUUCCCAGCAUUAGUCCUGAAUGAGAAGGAUAUUUCGGAGUGGGAUGAAGAUGCAGAAGAGUACAUACGAAAGAAUCUUCCGUCUGAACUUGAAGAAAUUUCUGGGUGGAGGGAGGAUCUGUUUACAGCAAGAAAAAGUGCAAUAAAUUUACUUGGUGUUAUUUCAAUGUCAAAGGGGCCACCUACGGUGAUCUCUUGUAAUGGUUCAGCUGCAUCUUCUAAGCGUAAGAAGGGUGAAAAGAACAAGAGAGAUAAUCAGCGUUCUAUGGGGGAUUUGUUUGUCCUUCCAUUUUUGUCUAAGUUUUCCCUUCCUUCUGAUGCUAAUGCAUCCAAAGCAAGCAUUAUAAAUGAUUAUUAUGGGGUUCUAAUGGCAUUUGGUGGGCUGCAAGAUGUAAGGAAAUUUUCUAACAGAGCAACAAACUGGAUACAUAACUGUUCUGGUUCGGGCUCGGGUCUUACCAUUAUAUACCAUGUCUGUAAUUCCACCAUACUUGGUUGCUGCUGCAAAUUGGGUUCUUGGGGAGCUAGCGUCCUGUCUGCCAGAAUUCAAAACUUUUUGAAGUUUCUGCCUUGUUUUCAGGACAUGAGUGCAGAUAUAUAUUCCUCAUUGCUUAAGGCACUGGCAAUGCCAGAUAACAAGGAUACUUCCUGUCAUCCUGUACGGGUUUCUGCAGCUGGGGCGAUUAUGGAGCUUCUUGAAAACGAAUAUCAGCCACCUGAGUGGUUACCAGUUCUUCAAGUUGUGAUUAGUAGGAUAAAUAUUGAAGAGGAAGAAGAGACUUCGAUUUUAUUUCAGCUUCUAAGCUCAGUGGCGGAGGCUGGUGAUGAAAACAUUGCAGAUCAUAUCCCAUUCAUGAUUUCAUCAAUAGUUGGAGCACUCUUGAAGUUUGUGCAUCCUAGUCUGGAGUCAUGGCCUCAAGUGGUUGAAAGAGGCUUUGCAGCAUUAGCAGUAAUGGCUAAAUCUUGGGAGAGCUUCUUGCCUGAAGACUUUGAGCAGAUUGAAUCAAGUGAAAAGUGGGCAUCUGGCCAAGCUGCCAUUGGUAAAGCUUUGUCAGCACUAUUGCAACAGACUUGGCUUGCCCCUAUGCAUCUAGGGGACCAAGAAGGUCAGGUUUCUCCAGUUCCUACAUGCAUAGAUGAUUCAUCAAUGCUGCUGCGUUCCAUUAUGCUUUCAGUUACUGGAAGUGACAUGAUUCUGCAGCUUAAACUAUCUGAUUUACUAUUAGUUUGGGCUGGUCUGAUUGCUGACUGGCAUGCCUGGGAAGAAUCUGAAGAUCUAUCAGUCUUUGAGUGCAUUAAUGAAGUUGUUAACCUACACAGAAAGUAUGGACUGAAGAAUUUUAUUGUUAGACAGAUGCCCUCACCUCCUGCUCCGCCUGUGCCACAACAAUCUAUCAUUGAAGGCAUUGGUGCUUUUGUUAGCGAGGCUGUUUUGCAAUAUUCAUCUGCAACAUGGAGGGCUUGCUCAUGUGUCCAUACGCUACUACAUGUCCCAUGUUACUCGACUGAAACUGAAGAUGUGAAGCAGUCAUUGGCAAUUGCUUUUAGCCAGGCCGCAUUUUCUCGUUUCAAACAAAUUCAAAGCAAACCUUGUUCACUUUGGAAGCCUUUGUUGCUUGUUAUAUCAUCAUGCUAUUUAUGGUAUCCUGAUACUUUGGAAGCGAUUUUAGAGAAGGAUAUGAAUGGAGGUUUCACAACUUGGGGAUCUGCACUUGCUUUUGCCUGCACUGGCUCUUUCGAACCUGGUUUGGUGGCAAAGUCUGAGAUAAAGUUAGGAGUAAUGACGCUAGCCAAGGUAAUUGAGCGGCUUUUAGAACAAGAUAAUUCAGUAGUUGGCUUGUUAAGGGACUGCUUUAGUUCAUUGAUGGAGGCAUCAAAACGGUUGAAAGAAGCACAAGAUGAAACGGAAGAUGAAGAAAGCAAUUGUGAAACCGAAGACAUUGAUGAAGAAGAAGAUGACACUGACUAUGAUGACGUGGACUCCGAGGAUGAGGAACGUGAAGAAACUGAAGAAGAGUUUCUAGAAAGAUAUGCAAAAGCAGCAAUAGCAUUGGAUGAUGACACAAUUGUUGAAGAGGGGGAUGUGGAAGAUCAAGAGCAUGAUAUCGAAUUAGUCUUCUAGUGUGGAUAUCCCAUCCCAAAAUGGUGUGGCCGAAAGAAAAAAUCGGCAUCUUCUUGAGGUAACUCGUGCUCUUCUUUUUCAGAUGAAAGUUUCUAAACACUUUUGGGCGGAUGCAGUUUCUACGGCAUGUUUUUUGAUCAAUCGUAUGCCGUCUUCUGUCCUUAAUGGGGAUAUUCCUUAUACUGCUUUAUUUCCUAUAAAAUUUUUGUUCCCUGUUGAACACCGUAUUUUUUGUUGUACCUGUUUUGUGCGUGAUGUUCGUCCACAGGUUACUAAAUUGGAUCCAAAGUCUUUCAAAUGUGUUUUCCUUAGGUACUCCAGGCUCCAAAAAAGGUGCCUGGGAGGAGUUAGAUGAGCAGAGGAUUAUAUUUUCAUUGAUAGAGAGAUUCAAUCAUAUUCUCAUACGAGGGCAGGCAUUGUCUUCGCAGGUCGUAUCAAAUUUCCUCUCUGCCUAUCCCGAGUGUAAUC